GGCCGGUUAGCUCAAUUGGCUCAGAGCGUGGUGCUAAUAACACCAAGGUCACGGGUUCGACCCCCGUACGGGCCA